rnacentral:lncRNA from 1 species
ACACUUUAUUAUACUUCCUGUAAGAUAUGUGAAACACGAACUCCAACCAUGUUUCAUCAACAAAAUGCUCUCAAUCCCAUAUAAAAGAAUUUAUAUUUCAACAAACGUAUCUCAAGCCGUACAAUGCCAUCUACCCCACCAACAACCUUCUUCUUCUUCUUCUUCUACUACUACUACUACUACUACUAGUGUAUCCCUUCUUCUUUUUGAUUUCUCAGCAAACUUGUGUGACACUCUCUUAGCUCUCAGCUUUCAGGAACUCACCCGUUACUACCCUGUACAAUCACACCACAUCAAAACUUGAAUUCUCUUCUUUUUAUAUUAUUACAUUCUACUUCCCCCUCAAUUUACAAAAGAAAUUUUUUUUAAGCAACUACAAAUCACAGCCAGUUCUAUUUCUGUAUCAAAAUCUUCCUUGCAUUGAUCAUAUAUGUUAGUCAAAGAAACACUUUAUUGUGUUGGCCGGUGAUGGACACUGAAAGAGGAACUUCAUUUUGUCAAUAAUUGUGGCUUUGUGGCUUUCACAUAUCCAAUCUUCUCCUAUAAAUAAUAAACGUAAGGAGAAGAGGAAAGGCAUCCCAAAACAAGAAAACAGAGAGAGAACGAGAGAAGAGAAGAGAAGAGAAGAAGAAGAAAAAAAAAAGUUUUUUUUCCUCACAAAAAAUCUUCUUUAAGAAAUUACGAGUAAUUUCUGAGUGUAUUUGGGAUCGGGGUGUGAGUUAUGAGCUUGUAAAAUUUCCCUGGUUGAUUUGUUAAUGGACAAGAGGUGGAGAUUAACCAAUGAGCAAGGAACCUUCUUCUCUCUCUCCGCUGACUAUAAAUUUCUUUAUCGUUAAACAAUCACGCGUUGCGUUAAGCAAGUUUACAAGAAUAAUAAUCUUCAAGAAGAGUGGAUUGAAUUUUAUAAAGAGUGGUUAAGACUUGACCUUUUUUACAAUUAAAGGAAGGAGGCCACUUCUUCUUCUGACUUUUUUCUUUCUUGGAAACCCUUUUUCCUCCUCCUUCGCCACCCUUUGCUCCCUCUCCUCAUUAUCGAACAUGCUCAUUGUCCCCUUUACUUGUCUUUCCAAUUACCAAACACUACAAUCACACUUUAUUAUACUUCCUGUAAGAUAUGUGAAACACGAACUCCAACCAUGUUUCAUCAACAAAAUGCUCUCAAUCCCAUAUAAAAGAAUUUAUAUUUCAACAAACGUAUCUCAAGCCGUACAAUGCCAUCUACCCCACCAACAACCUUCUUCUUCUUCUUCUUCUACUACUACUACUACUACUACUAGUGUAUCCCUUCUUCUUUUUGAUUUCUCAGCAAACUUGUGUGACACUCUCUUAGCUCUCAGCUUUCAGGAACUCACCCGUUACUACCCUGUACAAUCACACCACAUCAAAACUUGAAUUCUCUUCUUUUUAUAUUAUUACAUUCUACUUCCCCCUCAA